rnacentral:tRNA from 1 species
GUCACUGGUGUAGUGGUAAACACGGUUGCCUCAUGAACAGCAUGUCCGUGGUUCAAGUCCCGGCAGUGGCA